GGGCCCGCACAAGCGGUGGAGCAUGUGGUUUAAUUCGAUGAUACGCGAGGAACCUUACCAGGUCUUAAAUGCAUAACGAACGAUUGGGAAACCAAUCUUUCUUCGGACGGAAUGCAAGGUGCUGCAUGGUUGUCGUCAGCUCGUGCCGUGAGGUGUCAGGUUAAGUCCUAUAACGAGCGCAACCCCUAUUCUUAGUUGCCAGCGGUUCGGCCGGGGACUCUAAGAAAACUGCCAGUGCAAGCUGUGAGGAAGGUGGGGAUGACGUCAAAUCAUCACGGCCCUUACGACCUGGGCCACACACGUGCUACAAUGGUAGGUACAAAGGGCAGCCACUUGGCGACAAGGAGCUAAUCUCUAAAACCUAUCUCAGUUCGGAUUGGAGUCUGAAACUCGACUCUAUGAAGCUGGAAUCGCUAGUAAUCGC
rnacentral:rRNA from 1 species